UCCCUGGUGGAUGAGUGGCUAGCAUUCGGCACUCUCAUUGCUGUGGCCUGGGUUCAAUUUCUUGUCAGGGAU